ensembl:lncRNA
GGACAGAAAGUUCCGGCUAGCGAGAAGUUCCGGAUGACGCAACAGACGUUCCGAUCAGCUGUUUAUCAAAGAAUCUUGGCGUCGUUGCUAUGAUGGUUGCUAUGAGCUCGCGGUUGACAUAUAGGAGUCGCGAGAAGCUGUCAUUUACCUCAGGAACACCUCAGGAACACACAAGCGGACAGCGACAGAGACAGCGACAGCAUUCAAUUUCAAUUACAUUUCUUUAUUACAUUCUAAUCUUCAUUAUCCUAUUUGCCUACUUUGUGAAAAUGGUAUCGUUUGAUAAUAUUUUAUUUUAUCUUGUAGGUAGCAAGGACAAGUACAAACCAGGGACGGAAGAGUCCGCCAAAAGAGCUAUUAGAAAAGCUGCAAAAGCCUACUGUGUCCAAGGUGAUGCGUUGUACCACCAAGGCGAUGAGUCCUGUCUGAGGAGAGUGGUGAUGACAGAAGAGGAGAAGACUCCCAUCCUCGAAGAGGCACACGCAGGCCACUUUGGGCGAGCGCGCAUGGAGGCCAAGAUCCGGCAGCGCUUUUAUUGGCAGAACAUCAGGGAGGAUGUGGACAACUGGAUUCAGACCUGCAUGCGGUGCCAACGCUUUGAGAGGGUGAAGACGGAGGCCCCGGAGAUGAGGCCCAUCAAGCCAGUUGCUCCCUGGCA